UACGGAGGAUGCAAGCGUUAUCCGGAAUGAUUGGGCGUAAAGCGUCCGCAGGUGGCUAUGUAAGUCUGCUGUUAAAGAGUGAGGCUCAACCUCAUAAGAGCAGUGGAAACUACAUAGCUAGAGUGCGUUCGGGGCAGAGGGAAUUCCUGGUGUAGCGGUGAAAUGCGUAGAUAUCAGGAAGAACACCGGUGGCGAAAGCGCUCUGCUGGGCCGACACUGACACUGAGAGACGAAAGCUAGGGGAGCAAAUGGG
rnacentral:rRNA from 1 species